GGGGUAGCCACUCUCCUAUUUUAAUUUCACCAACUGACCAUUUUAAAAAAAAUACAUAGUAUAUGUAUAGAAAUCGUGUAAAAUAUGUAUAAAAACUGUAAUAGGUGUUAUAUAGAAGACAUAUAUGUGUAAGAUAUAUAUAGAAAUUGUAUAUGAUGUGUACAAAAACUAUAUAAUUUCUGUAUUGAAUAUGUUGGUAUAUAAAAUAUAGGUAUAUAACACUACAUUCAUUAUUCUAUACCUAUAUUUUAUAUAUCAACAUAUGAACUAUGUAAAAUAUAGGUAUAGAACAAUGAACUAUAUAUACAAUGAUUUAUCUGUAUAAACUAUAUGAAUGUGGUAUGAGAAAAAAGUAAAGGGAUAAACACCCUAAUUGGAGUGUUCUCCAGCCUCCCUUAAAAUCCCAAGGUCGUCAACAUCCCCGUAACCCUAGUUUUCUCACCAGCCGGUGGUCAGCGCCGGCAUGACUGGUCCAGCUAUAGUUAAGCCAUCUAUGACUAAAUAUAUCUUUUCAAUUACUUCACAAACGAAGUUUCCAGAUUAUACCAUCCCAAAUCCCCCUCUAAAUCCUCUUUACCUGUGCAUAUUGAGAUUUUUGCCUACUAAUGAUAGUACAAAGUAUCAUACAACUGAAUAUUCAGAAGGCAUCAGAUUAAAUUUUUUGAUUUUCUAAAACCUAAAAUGCAAUAUCAACAAAUCAAUAAGGAUAUAUUAAUAACAAUG
rnacentral:lncRNA from 1 species